GUAUUUAUCCGGCAACUUGUCCUUCUAUCGUCGCACUUGUGCUGAAGUCUUAAAAUCACGUGAAGGCUCAUCACGAUCCGGACCCUCUAAACUGGUCCAAUUCCACAAGCAGACGGAAGGGGAUUCACGCUCAAGAGACAUCUGUGUCUCUUCUCCAGACAAGCUCAUUCACAGCGAAGACAGGAAAGGUCAAGAGGUUUUGCCUCCUCCUGAGUCAAGUGUGGUGGUCCCUGGUUGCAGCCAUGCAGUUUAAGAAAAGUCCUCUGCCGCACAAUUCUUUUUCUGGACCUCCUCUGCAAACACGCUCAUUCCUGCUGAUGGGGAAGAAAUACUUCAGUGCCAUCAAGAAAUAAACUGUCUUGGAUUCCACGAUAAUUGGAAGAGUUCGCCCCCCUUUUCCACCAGCCUACUUCCCAUUCCAUCCCAUCGGGAAUCCUAAACCCUCUUAUCCUCAGAACACCCCAAAGGAGAGAAGCUCAUGAAAAUAUACUACCUACGUGUCCUCCAUAUAAUGGGGGUGGCUGUCCUGUGUGAGGGCGAGAACGGACUGGAGUCUGCAUCAAAGAAGCGAAAAAUGGAAGAACUGACCAUUUAUGAAAUAAGUUCUCCCAAACCGACCUCUCUUGUCCGUAUACAGAACUCCUGACUGACAGUGACUGCAGCUGGAA